UCCCUCUCAGGAUUGCUCCUGGAGAGUUUCCAGUCCUCUACCAGUCUUGGCUACGGGAGGGAGAGUCAAGCAGAGGCAUACCCGUACCAUUCCUAGCUUGGGCAGUAGCUAGCAAGUAGAAGGCAAUCUGCUACAGGU